ACCGGGUGUGGUAGUGUGUGCCUGUAGUCCCAGCUACUCGGGAGGCUAAGGUGGGAGGAUAGCUUGAGCCCAGGAGUUCUGGGCUGUAGUGCGCUUUGUUGAUCGGGUAUCCACACUUAAGUUCGGCAUCAAUAUGGUGACCUCCAAGGAGCAGGGGACCCCCAAGUUGUCUAAGGAGGGGAGAAGCAGCCCAGUUUGGAAACAGAACAGGCCAAAACUCCCGUGCUGAUCAGUAGUGGGAUUUUGCCUGUGAAUAACCAUUUCACUCCAGCCUGGGCACCAUAGCAAGACUGCAUCUCUA
ensembl:misc_RNA Metazoa_SRP Metazoan signal recognition particle RNA